rnacentral:lncRNA from 1 species
GGGAAUUUUAAAAUAUAAUUAUUUUUCUUAAAAAAAAAACUACCACAUGUGGUCGUUUUUUUUGCCACCACAAGAUGUGGUCGAUUUUUUGUGGUCGGAAAAACUAUUUUUUUAGUAGUGAGUGUCAAUUUGCGAAUGGUCUCUAAAUUGUCAGCCCUUUCCUUAGCAAGAUUAGCCUUCAGUGUGAGGAUUCUAGCUUAAAGAACCUUUUUCUUUUAGCAUGAGUGGCUUGAACAGUCUCUAACUCAGACAAGGUAUCAGCUAAGUCAUUCCUUAACCUUUGUAUGGGUGUGUCAGCUUGUCGCAUGGAAACAAGUAGUGAAACAUGGUUCAAAUGCCCAAUAAUGUGCUUUGUGGUUUAUAGAGACCAAACUUGCACUAGAACAACAUAUUUCUCAAAAAUUGAGGCUAACCAGAACUCAUAAGGAAGAGCAUGAGGUUUUUUUAUUAACUUUCAAGAGCACUCAUUGCAUGUGCUGACAAUGAGGCUAGGUAGAUCGAUAUUUACUUUAAUGUCAAGUAGUACCAUGAGGGUAAGAUCCAAACAAUUUUCUUCAGUGUGCCUUUUCUUUCUUGGGGUAAUCAUUUUAUGGACCACAUCAAAAUAGAGCUGGUAGAGAGGGGAUAUUUCAUAUUUGAGCACACAUCAAUGAUGAAGCGGAUUAGGAUUUCCAAAGAAUUUCCUAGUAAUGUUCAAAGAAGAUCCCAUGUUCUGGGAGAGGCCAUUCAAACUUGACAUAUUGAUCCCAACCUUCAAGACGAAUAACUAAGAUGUGAGUUAUGUCCUUAGCAACCAAGUGGAUAGGAACACCACGCACAAAGGUGGUGAAGAGAUGUCCCUUAGCAGCACCAUUGGUGUAAAACUCAAACCUUAGGGCGUCCAAAUUUAUGUUAAGUGUCACCUUGGAGGAAUAAGGUGGUCUAAAUAAAGGGUUGGAAUGGCACGUUUGUAAGUUUUUCCUCGACGAAUAGAGCAUAUCAAUAUAUCCAAAUCAGAAGGAGGAAUUGGUAGUAUAGAUGAGGAAGGUUUCUUCUUUUUACUAUUUUUUAGAGUGGCUUCAAGAGUGACAUCCUCUUAUCUUUUUUGAUUUCUAGUGUGAGGAUGCAAAUUGGAGUAGACGCAGGUGAGGAGACAUAAAUAAGCUCAUCUUUAGGAAUACAGAAUUGAGCCCUAAAUAAUUUUACCAGAUGAGAAUGAACUCAUUUAGGAACAGGUGUGGAACAGGGUUCAUUCUCAGUGAGAAAAAUUUAAAGAGGAGCAAUUUCUUGAACUAGAUCUGGAGAAGAGCACUGGUUGCGGGAAGAAUCUUAAGCAAAAGAAUUGAGCAUUGAUUUAAAGUUGUUCCAAGCCCUAAAAUCCGACAUUUUGAAGGGAAUGAAAGAGGAAAUUUAUGGAGUUUUGGCUAAAUCAGUAUGAAGAGUAAUAAAGAGUGAGGAGGAUAGUGAUGUAGAUGAGGAAUUUAUGGUGUCUUCUUGAACUGGGCGGAGGGAUUUUGAGAAGCCAUUGGCAAAGAAAAGCAAUCUUCAAAAGAUAGAGCAGGUGGGUUUAGCAUGAGAGAGAUGGUGAUAAAGAAUGAAUGGUCAAGGAUUUAUAUAGGAGAAGUGAGGAAUUGAAUUUACGUGAAAAGAGAAGUUAAAUCGUGUAGGAAUAAAUGGGUGUGUUAGGAAUGAU